GUCUUAUACGGAGUCAGACCACUGGGAUAUCUAGUUUAGUGUUACCUGCACCAGCUGGCAGUGGCUCUCCAGGAUUUCAGAAAAGGUCUCUCCUAAUCUUAGAGAUGCCGGAUAUUGAACCUGGGAGCUUUUGUAUGCAAUGCUGAGCUAUGACCCUUCCCUCCCUGGUAAACGUCUGGUGGUUGAGGUGAGCUGCGUCUGAGGGGCUGAACAGUGAGAAGUGUUGGAGAGUGAAGCCUCUCUUAAUUUUGUGAGUGUGCAAUUUUGUGGUUUCUUUGGAGGGCAGCUGUGCUGUGCUGCCUGGGCUUGUUUGUAAAGAGUUUGCUUGUAGUUGUGGUGAUGUUGCCUGUGUAGGUUUGUGUACUUCAGUAUUUGUUUUUGUUUUUCUAAGGGUGGGUGGAAAUGCUGUUUGGGUAGGUUUGGGGGUUUUUUUUAGGGUUCUCCCCCCCAAACUUCAAAAUAUGCCUGUAUACAUUUGGUGAGUCCUGCUCUUGAGCAAUAGGAAAAAACUUUGCUCCAUCAUCUAUAUGAGACAGGCCUUUGGAUAUUUGGAGAUGGCUAUCAUAUUGCUACUUAAUCAUCUCUUCAGGAAGUCCACAGAGAAGGACAAGAUUAUCCCUGCCCUGGGGGAUAAGCAUGAGCUACUUAUCUGGAUAUUACACAGAUUUACAAAAACGGGUGCUGUGAUCCCAGUUGUUCUUCCCAUUUUCCUGCUUCUCAGAUAUCUGAAGCCACAUGCACAGUAUGUUCUGCCUCCACCUGUCAGAAUUUUAACUAAGUUUAGCAAGCUGCUUCCAGGUUUUGUUUACUUGUGUGCCUGGUUUUAUGCACUAUUUUCAGUAAAUAAACUGUUCAUUGUUUGAGAACAGCUAUUUUGCCUGGGGCUGUUGAAAAGCUUUCACUUGCUGAUGGGUCUCAUCUGUUUAGUACUAUGUUAGUGGGACAUACAAUAUUCUUGAGUAGGUUAGAAAGUUUUCCUGUGUUUUGAAAUGCACAGAACUUCAUGGCACUCCCAGGCUCCCUUUUGCUUGAGUAUUAAGCAUGCAUCCCUGCCUGUUUGGCUACAAAUGAGUGGUGGCAUGUCACCUGAAUCAAGCACUAGUAGGAAGCCUCAGCUAGCUUAUUCUGUCUUCCCUGGAUUUGAAUGUGAGAAACACCUUGGGCCAUCUGAAUCCACCCUCCAGGUUCAUGAUGGGCUCAUCCCUACUUCCGUUCACCCCAUGUUUUCUAGGCAUCGGUUUUUCUUUCUUCCUGCUUUCUGCCGGAAAACCCGCUGCUUACUGCUGAACUGGAACAAACAAACAUCACCUUGCUGCCCCUUUCAGAGUGCUGUCCUAGACUUCGUAAGAUCAUAAUGAUACUAGAUGCAGUACUUAUAUAGACAUCUCGCUCUGAAUCUACUCAGUUAGAUCAAGAGAGAAUCUGGCAGCUGGGGUUUCUUGGUUCUGCUUGGCGCAGCUGGAACUUGCUGCAAGAUCCAUCAGGUCCCAGCAAGAGACAGACAAGUGGCAGUAUUCUCUGACUGGCAGGAGGGGAGUGCGCAGCAAGUCUGCGAUCUUGCAACACAAGGGCCUUAAUUAUGUGUGGAAGACCAUCAUUUGGGAGGGAAUGUUUGCUGCUUCUCCAGGAGGGCAGGGAGGAGGGAAGCCAUGAUUAGUUCUCAAGCUCUUAAAUUCCGGCACUGUGAUGACAUGACAUAUAAUGACAGCACGUCCCAUGUCAAAAUGAUUGCGAAUCCUGGAGGCUAAUAGCUAUGCAAAUAACCUCGUUAUCUGCCCUAUUUAUUUCCUGGGCUUCACACUGCCUUUAUUUAAGUGAUGCUUCUCAGACUGCCGCUCCUAGAGAAGGUGGGAGGCAGUGUCAUCACCAUGGCUGAGAAAAGAUGCUAACUCCUGCUGAGGUUCCCUUUCCUGGAAGAGAGGCCCAGAAUCCAAGGGCUGCCUCCAUACUCAGUUCCUCCUUUGUCCCGCAAUCAGGCAGCCUACCUAGUCAUGGGCAGUACUGGUGUUGACCAGCUCUGGGGGACUAGUUGGACAAGUGGCGCUUUUAUCAAUUCAUUCAUCAGCUGUGAGUUUGUACACCAAAAGUUGUAGAGGUGUUUUAUCUGCACAUGCACAUUUAUGUGUGCAGGGUAUACCCUGCACAUAUAAAUGUGCAUGUGCAGAUAAAGCACCUUCUCUAGCGGCGUGUGUGACUGACGUCAGCAUUUCUCAUGACAUGUGCACACAGCGCAUUGCGAGGGGGCGCAUUUGCUCUUCAAAGUCCUGUCAUGUUUGAUGAAACGACCCAUCAGAUCAGGACCCAAUAUCCGUGUGCGCAUUUGCGGAGAUAAGACUGCUUCUUUUCACAUAUCUGGUUCAUAGAUUUGGUCUUCAGAACUAUGAUGGCCCAGGUCAUAUUUCUCAAGUAUCCAAUAAAUCUCGACUAGCCCCACCUUUCUUCCACCUUUGUUUCUUCUUAGCUCUCCAGCUGUUCUAAUAAAUAUUUCACUGCAAACAAAAACUUUGCACUCCCCGAUGUUGGCUUGUUGGGAUGCGCUUUUUGUGUAGCAGCCCAGAUGGUGCUGUAUUAGGAAGACGGUUUCUUUGCCAAGUCCUUGCCCCUCCGGGUUGCACAGACAUUGCCAAAUCUUAGGGAAAGAGCCUCAAGGGUUGUAUGUUGAGAGCAAACUCUUGUCAUUAGAACAGUACUGUGAACACGUCUCACUUGAAGCCUGGUGCUGCAAUUCUCUUACUUAGGAGAAAGGAGCAGAGGGAAAUUUGUUAAGCUCACAUUUGCACUCCUUGAACAAAUAUGCACUGAAGCAUGGCUAGCCUUUGAAAUUCUCACUGUUCUGAUUUUUGCAAUGCAAUUUUCUGCCCCUAAAGUCUGAAUUAGGGAAGAGUGUGCACAAAAAUGCAUAUUUUACUGAUAUUAACACUAAAAUGCAUAAUUUUUUUCAGGAAUUUGUUUGCAUAACUGUGUGCAUAUUAGAAACAAACAGCAUAUAGAUGUUUUUUAUACUGGGAGAAAUGUGUGUUACAAUCUUAGCAUGUGGACCUACAGAGAACCGAUUCCUACUUUCAUUUAUGAUGUGAUAAAACCACAAAGAGAUUAUGUCUCUUCCCCGCCUCAUUUUUACAUUUUGUAUACUGAUACUUUUCUUCUGACCAUCCUCCUAUGUAGUGAGAUAGAUGUCCCCAAUCUGGAAAAUUGCAGUUCACCAUGACCUGGAAAAUGACUGAAAAUAAUCAGUCUCAUCUCAUUAUGGCCAUUUAGAUAAAAGCUUCAGAACAUUUCAAUGGGGGGGGGGAGCCACCCCUUUCAGAAUAAUGUUCCAUAUUCCCAAUAUUGCGUCAGCAACUGCAUCAGAUUACCUCUUCUGUUUAAAUGCAUUUCUCUUCCUUUUUGAUCUGAAAUGGAUGUAUUUAGACAUCAUUCUCUCUCUUUUCAUAAUUGCUGCCGUGAGACUUCACCUCUGUUCUUCCAGAGUCAAAGUUGAGGGGGUUGCACCUCUCUCUGCCUCCCACCCUUUUAGAACUGCAAAGUUUUGGGGGGAAUUUGUUUCUGAUGUCAGUGGGGCUUAGUUUACGUGCUGAUGGGAAGAACAACCUGGAUGAUCUAUUUAUCAGUACCUGUUUCUCCGCCCCCCCUUAUACUUUACUGAAAGUUUAAAACUACAUAAUUAUAUGUGCUCUAAACAUGGUGAGACAUAC